AACGGCCGUACCAUGCUGAAUAUACCGGUUCUCGUUAGAUCACCGAAGUUAAGUAAUCACCGAAGUACUUGGGUGGGUGACCACCUGGGAACACUGCGUGCCGUU